ensembl:rRNA 5S_rRNA 5S ribosomal RNA
UCUACGGUCAUACCACCCUGAAUGUGCAUGAUCUUGUCUGAUCUCAGAAGCUAAGCAGGGUCAGGCCUGGUUAGCACUUGGGUGACAGAAAUUAAGACUGUAUGAUAUUGGUGAACAAGUACCAAUAUAA